rnacentral:rRNA from 1 species
AACGUAGGAGACAAACGUUAUCCGGAGUUACUGGGCGUAAAGGGCGCGUAGGCGGCCUUCUAAGUCAGACGUGAAAUCCCCCGGCUUAACCUGGGAACUGCGUCUGAUACUGGAAGGCUUGAGUUUGGGAGAGGGAUGCAGAAUUCCAGGUGUAGCGGUGAAAUGCGUAGAUAUCUGGAGGAAUACCGGUGGCGAAGGCGGCAUCCUGGACCAACACUGACGCUGAGGCGCGAAAGCUAGGGGAGCAAACGGG